rnacentral:tRNA from 1 species
GGGGAGGUGGCCGAGUAGGUCGAAGGCGCACGCCUGCUAAGCGUGUAUACUUAACGGUAUCGAGGGUUCGAAUCCCUCCCUCUCCG